AGUGAACGCUGGCGGUAGGCCUAGCACAUGCAAGUCGAACGGCAGCACAGUAAGAGUUUGCUCUUACGGGUGGCGAGUGGCGGACGGGUCAGGAAUACAUCGGAAUCUACUUUUUCGUGGGGGAUAACGUAGGGAAACUUACGCUAAUACCGCAUACGACCUACGGGUGAAAGCAGGGGAUCUUCGGACCUUGCGCGAUUGAAUGAGCCGAUGUCGGAUUAGCUAGUUGGCGGGGUAAAGGCCCACCGAGGCGACGAUCCGUAGCUGGACUGAGAGGAUGAUCAGCCGCACUGGAACUGAGACACGGUCCAGACUCCUGCGGGAGGCAGCAGCCGCGAAUAUUGGCCAAUGGGCGCAAGCCUGAUCCAGCCAUACCGCGUGGGUGAAGAAGGCGUUCGGGUUGUAAAGCCCUUUUGUUGGGAAAGAAAAGCAGCAGGUUAAUACCCCGCUGUUCUGACGGUACCCAGUGAAUAAGCACCGGCUAACUUCGUG
rnacentral:rRNA from 1 species